GGUGGCUCAGUGGUAGAGUGCUUGCCUAACAUGCAUGAGGCCCUGGGUUCAAUUCCCCAGUACCA
rnacentral:tRNA from 1 species